UGGGAAGGAGCAAAAUGAAGAGGGUAAGGCAAAGAGGCAGGAGCUCAGAGAGAAGAAGAAACCUAAAGCUGCUAAACAAGCAUGGCUUGUUAAGAAAACUCAAGUACCUGAUAGCCCGCAGGAGAUGAUCCCAGAGCAAGCUGAGCCUAUCAAGACUAAUGAUGUAGUGGAGAUCAAUACCAACCAAAUGAUGCUUCCUCACCAUGAGACUCAGCAAUUCCCUAUCAACCAGGAGAGGACUAUAGAUACUGAUAGUGAACAACAGUGCAGGAAGAUUGAUGAAUGCAAUAAAGGGAAGGCAGCUGUUGAUGUGUUAGAUUCUGG
rnacentral:lncRNA from 1 species